UACGUAGGGGGCAAGCGUUGUCCGGAAUCAUUGGGCGUAAAGAGCGCGUAGGCGGUCCGGUAAGUCCGCUCUGAAAGUCCGGGGCUCAACCCCGGGAGGCGGGCGGAUACUGUCGGGCUAGAGUCCGGAAGAGGCGAGUGGAAUUCCUGGUGUAGCAGUGAAAUGCGCAGAUAUCAGGAGGAACACCAAUGGCGAAGGCAGCUCGCUGGGACGGUACUGACGCUGAGGCGCGAAAGCGUGGGGAGCAAACAGG
rnacentral:rRNA from 1 species